rnacentral:rRNA from 1 species
AGUGAACGCUGGCGGUAGGCCUAACACAUGCAAGUCGAACGGCAGCACAGUAAGAGCUUGCUCUUACGGGUGGCGAGUGGCGGACGGGUGAGGAAUACAUCGGAAUCUACUUUUUCGUGGGGGAUAACGUAGGGAAACUUACGCUAAUACCGCAUACGACCUACGGGUGAAAGCAGGGGAUCUUCGGACCUUGCGCGAUUGAAUGAGCCGAUGUCGGAUUAGCUAGUUGGCGGGGUAAAGGCCCACCAAGGCGACGAUCCGUAGCUGGUCUGAGAGGAUGAUACGCCACACUGGAACUGAGACACGGUCCAGACUCCUACGGGAGGCAGCAGUGGGGAAUAUUGGACAAAGGGCGCAAGCCUGAUCCAGCCAUACCGCGUGGGUGAAGAAGGCCUUCGGGUUGUAAAGCCCUUUUGUUGGGAAAGAAAAGCAGCAGGUUAAUACCCCGCUGUUCUGACGGUACCCAAAGAAUAAGCACCGGCUAACUUCGUG